rnacentral:rRNA from 1 species
UUGUGCUUGCACAGAUGACGACCGGCGCACGGGUGCGUAACGCGUAUAGAACCUACCUUUUACAGAGGAAUAGCCUUUAGAAAUGAAGAUUAAUGCCUCAUGGUAUUGUAGACUGGCAUCAGUUUAUAAUUAAAGAUUUAUCGGUAAAAGAUGGCUAUGCGUCCUAUUAGUUAGUUGGUAAGGUAACGGCUUACCAAGACAGCGAUAGGUAGGGGUCCUGAGAGGGAGAUCCCCCACACUGGUACUGAGACACGGACCAGACUCCUACGGGAGGCAGCAGUGAGGAAUAUUGGACAAUGGAGGAGACUCUGAUCCAGCCAUGCCGCGUGUAGGAAGAAUGCCCUAUGGGUUGUAAACUACUUUUAUACAGGAAGAAACACUGGUAUGUAUACCAGCUUGACGGUACUGUAAGAAUAAGGACCGGCUAACUCCGUGCCAGCAGCCGCGGUAAUACGGAGGGUCCGAGCGUUAUCCGGAAUCAUUGGGUUUAAAGGGUCCGCAGGCGGUCGAUUAAGUCAGAGGUGAAAUCCCAUAGCUCA